CUCACCUUGCUGAAAAGAGACACUGGACCUAAAUGGAGCAGCACGACUUUGUUCCUGCUUGGCUAAAUUUCUCAACACCACAGUCAGCUAAGUCACCUACAUCCACCUUUGAAAAACACAGAGAGCACCUGCCCUGAGGAGAAGGUAGAUUUGGAGUGAGCUGUCACCGACACAAUUCCUCUGAUGGCUUUUUUAACAAUGGGCCCCUACGAACUACAAGAGAUUCCUGGCACCAGCCCUCCCCCUUCUGCCAUGAUUCUGUGGACUCUGGUAUCUCUAAGGGAGCAUAUGCUGGAAUCACAGGGAAGCUAUCUGGUUGGCAUAGUUCUUCCCGAGGUCAUGAUGGCAUGAACCAAUGUAGUGAAGGUGGCACAGGGAACCAUCGACACUGGAUGGCAGUUUUCAUUCCUAGAAAGGCUGUGCCUUUCAAGAAAAGCAACCUACAGAGAUUAGGGAAGAAAAGAAAGAAGACAAAGUGGAAAAGUUGCAGUUUGAAGAGGAAGACUUUCCUUCUUUGAAUCCAGAAGGUGGCAAAAAGAAUCAGCCAUGCAGACCUAUUGGGACCCCUUCUGGAGUGUGGGAAAACCCACCUAGUGCCAAGCAACCCUCCAAGAUGCUAGUUAUCAAAAAAGUUUCCAAAGAGGAUCCUGCUGCUGCCUUCUCUGCUGCAUUCACCUCACCAGGAUCUCACCAUGCAAAUGGGAACAAAUCAUCAACUAUGGUUCCAAGUGUCUGUAAGAACUUGGUUCCUAAGCCUGCACCACCUCCUUCCAAGCCCAAUGCAUGGAAAUUUAGCAGAAUGGAACACAAAUCAGGACCCCUUUCCUCUAGCCAGGAGUCAUCAUUUAUCAAUCCAAUUUCUGUUACCAAACCAGUGGUACUGGCUGGUGGCGCAGUUCUCAGCUCUCCCAAAGAGAGUCCCUCCAGCAUUAACCCUCCAAUUAAGAUCAGCUCCUCUCAUCUGACCAAGUUGACCCACCGAACCACUGACAGGAAGAGUGAAUUCCUGAAGACUCUGAAGGAUGAGCGAAAUGGAGACUUUGCAGAGAACAGAGACUAUGACAAGCUGGAGGAUUUGGAGGACAACAGCACACCUGAACCAAAGGAAAAUGGGGAGGAAGGCUGUCUUCAGAAUGGUCUUUCUCUCUCUGUAGUAGAAGAAGGGGGGGGGGUCCUUUCACACUCUCUGGAAGCAGAGCAUAGGUUAUUGAAAUCAAUGGGAUGGCAAGAAUAUCCUGAAAAUGAUGAGAAUUGCCUUCCUCUCACAGAGGAUGAGCUAAAAGAGUUCCACAUGAAGACAGAGCAGCUGAGAAGAAAUGGCUUCGGAAAGAAUGGCUUCUUGCAGAGCCGCUGUUCCAGCCUAUUCUCCCCUUGGAGAAGCACUUGUAAAGCAGAGUUUGAGGACUCAGACACAGAAACGAGUAGCAGUGAAACAUCAGAUGACAAUGCCUGGAAGAAGGCAUAUAAAUGUUCACAGUUAAUCUGACUCAGUAAACUCAGCUUGUGUGUUCAGGGAAUAUACAAAAGAAAUUGUUCUUUUCCUUUUUUAUGUUGUUGAAUAUUUCAUGCACAAGGGAAAUAAUCAUAUCCCAAAGAAAGAGCAGUUGGCUUGUUUAGCUUUUAUUUUUGUUCUUCCCUGUUAUCUGCUUAAUAGAAGUUUGUGUGGUGGGAAAGAUAUUUUAAAUACACACACACGUACAUAUGGGGCGAUACACAGGUGAGAGCUGGCAGUGCAGAGAUGCAGAGAGGAGGAGACACUGGUCUGCAGCAACAGUUUCUACUACCAGCCCUUAGGGCACUCACCUCUGUGCUCAAGCAAUCAUUGUCAAUGACAAAGUGACUAUUGAAGUUAUAAUUGUAUUAAAUUAAUGAUAAUAAUUUGGAUAUUUUAUUUUAUUUUUGGCUGCUCGGGUAACUUUAGCCCUUAACAAAGCAUAUGUGGUUUUUUGUUUGUUUGUUUUUGUUUUCUUUUUUCCUUUUUGUGUACAGCUGUAAAAUAUUUGGAUAUAGGAAAUGUGUUAUUCUUGCAGCCUUGAUAUUCAGGGUGGAUUGUAAAAUAUAAAUUUUUUGAGAUCUCAAAGAUUAAGAUUAUUUUGAUAAUAUUAUUUACAGAUUUAAAAGAUGUGGUUAUCACAAGUCUGUUGAGGGUAAAAACUACUGCAUAAAAUAAUUAACUUGGAAUAAAUAUUUUGUAUCA